rnacentral:rRNA from 1 species
GGUUAAGCGACUAAGCGUACACGGUGGAUGCCCUGGCAGUCAGAGGCGAUGAAGGACGUGCUAAUCUGCGAAAAGCGUCGGUAAGGUGAUAUGAACCGUUAUAGCCGGCGAUGUCCGAAUGGGGAAACCCAGUGCAAUUCGUUGCACUAUCGUUAACUGAAUACAUAGGUUAACGAGGCGAACCGGGGGAACUGAAACAUCUAAGUACCCCGAGGAAAAGAAAUCAACCGAGAUUCCCCCAGUAGCGGCGAGCGAACGGGGAGCAGCCCAGAGUCUGAAUCAGCUUGUGUGUUAGUGGAACGGUCUGGAAAGUCCGACGGUACAGGGUGAUAGUCCCGUACACCAAAAUGCACAGGUUGUGAACUCGAAGAGUAGGGCGGGACACGUGGUAUCCUGUCUGAAUAUGGGGGGACCAUCCUCCAAGGCUAAAUACUCCUGACUGACCGAUAGUGAACCAGUACCGUGAGGGAAAGGCGAAAAGAACCCCGGCGAGGGGAGUGAAAAAGAACCUGAAACCGUGUACGUACAAGCAGUGGGAGCACCUUCGGGUGUGACUGCGUACCUUUUGUAUAAUGGGUCAGCGACUUAUAUUCUGUAGCAAGGUUAACCGUAUAGGGGAGCCGCAGGGAAACCGAGUCUUAACUGGGCGUUAAGUUGCAGGGUAUAGACCCGAAACCCGGUGAUCUAGCCAUGGGCAGGUUGAAGGUUGGGUAACACUAACUGGAGGACCGAACCGACUAAUGUUGAAAAAUUAGCGGAUGACUUGUGGCUGGGGGUGAAAGGCCAAUCAAACCGGGAGAUAGCUGGUUCUCCCCGAAAGCUAUUUAGGUAGCGCCUCGUGAACUCAUCUUCGGGGGUAGAGCACUGUUUCGGCUAGGGGGUCAUCCCGACUUACCAACCCGAUGCAAACUACGAAUACCGAAGAAUGUUAUCACGGGAGACACACGGCGGGUGCUAACGUCCGUCGUGAAGAGGGAAACAACCCAGACCGCCAGCUAAGGUCCCAAAGUCAUGGUUAAGUGGGAAACGAUGUGGGAAGGCACAGACAGCCAGGAUGUUGGCUUAGAAGCAGCCAUCAUUUAAAGAAAGCGUAAUAGCUCACUGGUCGAGUCGGCCUGCGCGGAAGAUGUAACGGGGCUAAACCAUGCACCGAAGCUGCGGCAGCGACACUAUGUGUUGUUGGGUAGGGGAGCGUUCUGUAAGCCUGCGAAGGUGUGCUGUGAGGCAUGCUGGAGGUAUCAGAAGUGCGAAUGCUGACAUAAGUAACGAUAAAGCGGGUGAAAAGCCCGCUCGCCGGAAGACCAAGGGUUCCUGUCCAACGUUAAUCGGGGCAGGGUGAGUCGACCCCUAAGGCGAGGCCGAAAGGCGUAGUCGAUGGGAAACAGGUUAAUAUUCCUGUACUUGGUGUUACUGCGAAGGGGGGACGGAGAAGGCUAUGUUAGCCGGGCGACGGUUGUCCCGGUUUAAGCAUGUAGGCUGUUGUCCAGGCAAAUCCGGAUAAUCAAGGCUGAGGUGUGAUGACGAGGCACUACGGUGCUGAAGUAACAAAUGCCCUGCUUCCAGGAAAAGCCUCUAAGCAUCAGGUAACAUCAAAUCGUACCCCAAACCGACACAGGUGGUCAGGUAGAGAAUACCAAGGCGCUUGAGAGAACUCGGGUGAAGGAACUAGGCAAAAUGGUGCCGUAACUUCGGGAGAAGGCACGCUGGUGUGUAGGUGAAGCCCCUGCGGGUGGAGCUGAGACCAGUCGAAGAUACCAGCUGGCUGCAACUGUUUAUUAAAAACACAGCACUGUGCAAACACGAAAGUGGACGUAUACGGUGUGACGCCUGCCCGGUGCCGGAAGGUUAAUUGAUGGGGUUAUCCGUAAGGAGAAGCUCUUGAUCGAAGCCCCGGUAAACGGCGGCCGUAACUAUAACGGUCCUAAGGUAGCGAAAUUCCUUGUCGGGUAAGUUCCGACCUGCACGAAUGGCGUAAUGAUGGCCAGGCUGUCUCCACCCGAGACUCAGUGAAAUUGAACUCGCUGUGAAGAUGCAGUGUACCCGCGGCAAGACGGAAAGACCCCGUGAACCUUUACUAUAGCUUGACACUGAACAUUGAGCCUUGAUGUGUAGGUUAGGUGGGAGGCUUUGAAGCGUGGACGCCAGUCUGCGUGGAGCCAACCUUGAAAUACCACCCUUUAAUGUUUGAUGUUCUAACGUUGGCCCCUGACCGGGGUUGCGGACAGUGUCUGGUGGGUAGUUUGACUGGGGCGGUCUCCUCCCAAAGCGUAACGGAGGAGCACGAAGGUUAGCUAAUCCUGGUCGGACAUCAGGAGGUUAGUGCAAUGGCAUAAGCUAGCUUGACUGCGAGCGUGACGGCGCGAGCAGGUGCGAAAGCAGGUCAUAGUGAUCCGGUGGUUCUGAAUGGAAGGGCCAUCGCUCAACGGAUAAAAGGUACUCCGGGGAUAACAGGCUGAUACCGCCCAAGAGUUCAUAUCGACGGCGGUGUUUGGCACCUCGAUGUCGGCUCAUCACAUCCUGGGGCUGAAGUAGGUCCCAAGGGUAUGGCUGUUCGCCAUUUAAAGUGGUACGCGAGCUGGGUUUAGAACGUCGUGAGACAGUUCGGUCCCUAUCUGCCGUGGGCGCUGGAGAAUUGAGGGGGGCUGCUCCUAGUACGAGAGGACCGGAGUGGACGCAUCACUGGUGUUCGGGUUGUCAUGCCAAUGGCACUGCCCGGUAGCUAAAUGCGGAAGAGAUAAGUGCUGAAAGCAUCUAAGCACGAAACUUGCCCCGAGAUGAGUUCUCCCUGAGACUUUAAGUCUCCUGAAGGAACGUUAAAGACGAUGACGUUGAUAGGCCGGGUGUGUAAGCGCAGCGAUGCGUUGAGCUAACCGGUACUAAUGAACCGUGAGGCUUAACCUU